CAGUCGCCACGGGAAUACAGAGGGUGCGAGCGUUAAUCGGAUUUACUGGGCGUAAAGCGUGCGUAGGCGGCUUCUUAAGUCGGAUGUGAAAUCCCUGAGCUUUACUUAGGAAUUGCAUUCGAUACUGGGAAGCUAGAGUAUGGGAGAGGAUGGUAGAAUUCCAGGUGUAGCGGUGAAAUGCGUAGAGAUCUGGAGGAAUACCGAUGGCGAAGGCAGCCAUCUGGCCUAAUACUGACGCUGAGGUACGAAAGCAUGGGGAGCAAACAGGAUUAGAUACCCCAGUAGUCCCUGUCUCUUAUAC
rnacentral:rRNA from 1 species